rnacentral:rRNA from 1 species
AUGAAAUCUCUUGACAAAUGUGUCAUGAUCAUCAUCAACAUUCUGAGCUUUUCCAGGAUAUCAAUCGAAAUAAUGGUGAGAAAUACAAUCCUUCCCCUCGAUGAUUUAUGUUAUCAUCGACAACAUUCUUAUCUCCCCCCCCAACACAAAUUUGAUCAUAUUGAUUUUGGGAAUACAUCCUUUUUGACAUGUCAAUGGAUUGCUACCGAGCCCAUCGGCCACACCCUCAUCUUUUCCCUGCUAAAAUUGUAUGACUGGUUUUCUAAGUUGUUUCCGAUGGAUCCUUGGUGUAUCCAAAGUCCGACCUUGCUUGAAGACCAUGUCAAUGCUAUCUCGAAGCUUGUCUGUGGUACUCCGGUUUUCAACGAGAACAUUUGA